GGAAGAUUGUAUUAAUACGUCAAGUCUGGUAUAACAAAAUACCUUAGACUGGGUGGCUUAAACAACAGAAAUUUAUUUUGUCACAGUUCUGGAGCUAAAAGUCAAAGAUCAGGGUGUUGGCAGGUUUGGUUUCUUCUGAGGCCUCCCUCCUUGUCUUACAGAUGGCUGUGUCCUCACAUGGCCUUUCCUCUAAGUGCCUGCUUCUCCUGUCCUUCUCUGUGUCUAGAUUUCCUCUUACUAGGACAUCAGUCAGAUUGGUUUAGGGCCCACCCUAAAGAACUCAUUUUAAGUUAAUCACCUCUUUAAAUGCCCUAUCUUCAAAGAUAAUCACAAUCUGAGGAGCUGGGGUUUAAAACUUCAACAUAAGAGUUUUAGGGGGGCAUAAGUCAGUCCAUCACAGAGAUAUUGACAGCAACUCUAAGGUUUUCACUCUUGGCAAUGAGGAGAAUGUUACUCAUAGGAGAAAGUUAGAAAGAGUUGCAGUUAGGGAAGAAGAUGGAUUGUCUGCUCCUUUCGAGUUGCUCUUGCCACUGGCACGUAACUUUGAUUUUUUUCCUCUCUCUUGUUGGCUGCAGGGACCACUGUCUCCCGGACCUCAUCAUAUUCUUUUCAGAGUGCCUAGCAGCAAGCUAGAGGUUGGCAGAGAAGAGUUACUCAGUGAAAGCAGCAGAGAAGCAAGAUCUAGAAUAUCGGUUCUGGUGUGAGAGCUGGAUUCCAGUUCUAACCGUGCGUCAUGACCUCAUCAAGCCUCAGCUUCUUCAUCGGUUAAAUAGGAGCCACAGUCCUCAUCGUCAUUGAUUGAGAACUUCCUAAAAUGCCAGGUAUGGUGCCAGGGGCAUUGCAUGGAUUAGCUCAUUUAUUCCCCCCACAAUAAUCCUCGGACUGCAAUUCCGUUUUUAUCUCCCUUGUUACAGCAGAGGAUGGGCACAGAGGUGUAGGCGAUUGGACCGAAGUCACACGACCUGUGGGACAGUAGCUUCGUCCCAGGUACGUGGGCGGUACCUUCAUGAAACAAGUGUGUGCUGGGUGCUUCGCAAGGUCCCUGACACGUACUCGGUGCUCAGUUGAUGCCACCCGCUGGUGUUUUUGUUGUUCUUAGUCAUUUGCUAUGAUUGCUGUGGCUUGUUAGUUUGAAUGACAUAACGACAAUAAUUACCUCAUCUACGGGUUAAAUAAAUCUUCCAGGGUCACAGGUUUUCA
rnacentral:lncRNA from 1 species